rnacentral:rRNA from 1 species
GCCUGAGAGGGUGACCGGCCACACUGGGACUGAGACACGGCCCAGACUCCUACGGGAGGCAGCAGUGGGGAAUAUUGCACAAUGGGCGCAAGCCUGAUGCAGCGACGCCGCGUGAGGGAUGACGGCCUUCGGGUUGUAAACCUCUUUCAGUAGGGAAGAAGCGAAAGUGACGGUACCUGCAGAAGAAGCGCCGGCUAACUACGUGCCAGCAKCCGCGGUAAUACGUAGGGCGCAAGCGUUAUCCGGAAUUAUUGGGCGUAAAGAGCUCGUAGGCGGUUUGUCKCGUCUGCCGUGAAAGUCCKGGGCUCAACUCCGGAUCUGCGGUGGGUACGGGCAGACUAGAGUGAUGUAGGGGAGACUGGAAUUCCUGGUGUAGCGGUGAAAUGCSCAKAUAUCAGGAGGAACACCGAUGGCGAAGGCAGGUCUCUGGGCAUUARCUGACGCUGAGGAGCGAAAGCAUGGGGAGCGAACAGGAUUAGAUACCCUGGUAGUCCAUGCCGUAAACGUUGGGCACUAGGUGUGGGGGACAUUCCACGUUUUCCGCGCCGUAGCUAACGCAUUAAGUGCCCCGCCUGGGGAGUACGGCCGCAAGGCUAAAACUCAAAGGAAUUGACGGGGGCCCGCACAAGCGGCGGAGCAUGCGGAUUAAUUCGAUGCAACGCGAAGAACCUUACCAAGGCUUGACAUGGACUAGWCCGCCGCAGAGAUGUGGUUUCCCCUUUGGGGCUGGUUCACAGGUGGUGCAUGGUUGUCGUCAGCUCGUGUCGUGAGAUGUUGGGUUAAGUCCCGCAACGAGCGCAACCCUCGUUCUAUGUUGCCAGCACGUGAUGGUGGGGACUCAUAGGAGACUGCCGGGGUCAACUCGGAGGAAGGUGGGGACGACGUCAAAUCAUCAUGCCCCUUAUGUCUUGGGCUUCACGCAUGCUACAAUGGCCGGUACAAAGGGUUGCGAUACUGUGAGGUGG